GACGAACGCUGGCGGCGUGCCUAAUACAUGCAAGUCGAACGCAUUUUCUUUCACCGUAGCUUGCUACACCGAAAGAAAAUGAGUGGCGAACGGGUGAGUAACACGUGGGUAACCUGCCCAUCAGCGGGGGAUAACACUUGGAAACAGGUGCUAAUACCGCAUAAUUCCAUUUACCGCAUGGUAAAUGGAUGAAAGGCGCUUUUGCGUCACUGAUGGAUGGACCCGCGGUGCAUUAGCUAGUUGGUGGGGUAACGGCCUACCAAGGCUGCGAUGCAUAGCCGAACUGAGAGGGUGAUCGGCCACACUGGGACUGAGACACGGCCCAGACUCCUACGGGAGGCAGCAGUAGGGAAUCUUCGGCAAUGGACGCAAGUCUGACCGAGCAACGCCGCGUGAGUGAAGAAGGUUUUCGGAUCGUAAAACUCUGUUGUUAGAGAAGAACAAGGAUGAGAGUGGAAAGUUCAUCCCUUGACGGUAUCUAACCAGAAAGCCACGGCUAACUACGUG
rnacentral:rRNA from 1 species